UUCAGACGAUGCGUCAUGCAUAUCAAUAAGCGGAGGAAAAGAAACUAACAAGGAUUCCCCUAGUAACGGCGAGUGAAGCGGGAAGAGCUCAAAUUUGAAAUCUUAAAGGGUUUCCCUUUACGAAUUGUAGUUUAAAGAAGUGUUUUCUGUUGAGGUUUUGGUAAAAGUUCUUUGGAAUAGGACAUCAUAGAGGGUGAGAAUCCCGUAUUUGACCUUUACUUUCAACUUUGUGAUACACUUUCAAAGAGUCGGAUUGUUUGGGAAUGCAGUCCAAAAUGGGUGGUAAAUUUCAUCUAAAGCUAAAUAUUGGCGAGAGACCGAUAGCGAACAAGUACCGUGAGGGAAAGAUGAAAAGAACUUUGAAAAGAGAGUUAAACAGUACGUGAAAUUGUCAAAAGGGAAGCGUUUGACACCAGUGUUGUUUUUCUGAAAAUCAAUUAAAGAACUGUUUAUGCUAAGUUGUUUAGACUUUAUCAGCUAUCUGUUUAGUUUUGAGCUUUUCUUUAAUGCACUUUUCAGUUAACAAGUCAACAUCAAUUUCUUUUGCUGUAAAAAAGCUUGAGGAAGGUGGCUUGAGAUUCGUCUUAAGUGUUUAUAGCCUCUUGCCUAUGCAGUCGGAGAGAUUGAGGUCUGCAGCGUAGAUCCUUCGGGGCUAAAUGCAUUUGUGCUAAGUUAUAGCAUUUUAUAGACAACUUGUUGACUAUGAUUUGUCUUGUAGCUUACUCGCUUAUGUUAUUUUACCUACGCUUAGGAUGUUGACACACGCGCGUGCUCG
rnacentral:rRNA from 1 species